UGAAAUUUCUAUGAAUAAAAUAAAAUAAAAGGAUUAAAAGAAAAAUCAAAAAAUAAAAAAAUAGAAAAAACACGGGCCAUCAGAUCUCCCUCAUUAAUUGAGGUGGCAGAUCUGAUGGCCACAAGCGCGCGCUCCAUCAUGCACCAUAGUCAACGCGUGUAUACAUGUGGUAAUCAAAAGCAAGGGCUAAGAUUAAAACGCAGGGCAAGGAUCAGAUGGCUGGGACUGAUUCCAG
rnacentral:lncRNA from 1 species